rnacentral:tRNA from 1 species
CAAGAUAUAGCUUAAACAAAGCAUCUAGUUUACACCUAGAAGAUUUCACAGUCCGUGUAUAUCUUGA